rnacentral:misc_RNA from 1 species
CCGGCGAGGUUUUGAUGAGCAUUGGAUUUCACAGAUUAUGAGAUGUGUCGCCUCGGCUACUUAUCCAAUCUUGAUUAAAGUUGAUCCUGUGGGUAAUAUUGUGCCCACAAGGGGCUUGAGACAAUUGUAUUCUAUUUGUUUAAGAGUAAACCUGAGGCAAGUUGUAUUUCUUCUAUGCUAUAGCGGUAUGAGCAAUUGUUUGGGCUGAAGGUGAACUUCUCUGAAUCAAAAAUAUCUUUCAAUUCUAAUAUGCAGCAAGAGAGGAGACAAUAUCCGGUUGACUCUCUAGGAUUUCGGGCAACUAAUAAUGAUGUGGUUUAUUUGGGGUUGCGAGCUAUGGUUGGGCGAUCCAAGAAAACAGUCUAUUUAGUGAUAAAGUAGUGG